AAAAGGACAUAUCCUUCAGGUGCAGAAAAAAGGAAGAAGAAGAAAGUGGAAGAGGAGAAAAAAUGCCAUGAUAAAGGUAUGUUUGCAUGACUUGGUAAUAAAAAGUUUAUCAAAGAGAUUUGUAGCUGUAAUUAGCUUUAGUUAGGUGACGUUAGCUAGCUAGCGCGGUGCUAGCAAUAUGUUUUUAGCAUCAGGUUACUAGUGAGAUAUGUUGUUUGCACAAAUUGUUUGCAGCAGAGCACGGUAAUUUAUGUGAGUAAAAUAAACAUUAUUUUUUACAUCAACUCAUAAGUUAUGUGAAACUUCCCCAGGAGAAUGGUUAAAAUACUUUGGAGGCACAGAAUCAGCCCAGAGCCAGUUCACAUCCUCAGGCUCAACUGUGAGUGAUGAAUCAGGUCCAUCUCCAUCUUCUACAGUGCUCUCUCACACACCUCCAUCCUCUGUGCCCACUGUCCCCUCCAUGUCUAAAACCACAGCUGAUUUAUCUACAACUUCCACCACAACGUCCCCUUCACACCAUGGACCAUCAUCAGCUCCGCCAGUUGACCCAGCUGAGUGGCCUUCUUUCCUCUCAGAUUCAGACAGGACUGAGCAGGUGAUCAGAGGACCACUGUCUAUUAAGGAGAACUUUUCAUUCCCCAAACGGCAUGAUGGCCGAAGUUUUCAUUAUCAUUAUACCUACAGACAGCUAGUAAAUGGGGAAAAAGUCAAGCGUAGCUGGCUGACUUAUUCAAGAAGUAAAGAUGCAGUCUAUUGCUUUUGCUGCAAAUUAUUUUCCAAAAAGUCCUUAAAACUGGCAGCCGAGGGACAGCGGGAUUGGGUCAACAUAGGUGCACUGCUGAAACAGCAUGAAAACAGUGAAGAUCAUUGUAGCAACAUGGUGAAAUGGAAGGAAUUUGCCUUGCGUCUU